AAACCAUUUAGAGCGACUGAGAGAUCUGGCUCGUUGACGUCGCAGCAACCACCACCUUGUUUCACCAAGUUGGACGGUGCUACUGCCAGGACCAAUGGAGU
rnacentral:ncRNA from 2 species